rnacentral:rRNA from 1 species
AGGCACUACGGUGCUGAAGUGACAAAUGCCCUGCUUCCAGGAAAAGCCUCUAAGCAUCAGGUAACAUCAAAUCGUACCCCAAACCGACACAGGUGGUCAGGUAGAGAAUACCAAGGCGCUUGAGAGAACUCGGGUGAAGGAACUAGGCAAAAUGGUGCCGUAACUUCGGGAGAAGGCACGCUGAUGGUAGGUGAAGUGACUUGCUCAUGGAGCUGAAAUCAGUCGAAGAUACCAGCUGGCUGCAACUGUUUAUUAAAAACACAGCACUGUGCAAACACGAAAGUGGACGUAUACGGUGUGACGCCUGCCCGGUGCCGGAA